rnacentral:rRNA from 1 species
AUUGAACGCUGGCGGCAUGCCUUACACAUGCAAGUCGAACGGUAACAGGUCUUCGGAUGCUGACGAGUGGCGAACGGGUGAGUAAUACAUCGGAACGUGCCCGAUCGUGGGGGAUAACGAAGCGAAAGCUUUGCUAAUACCGCAUACGAUCUAAGGAUGAAAGCAGGGGACCGCAAGGCCUUGCGCGAACGGAGCGGCCGAUGGCAGAUUAGGUAGUUGGUGGGAUAAAAGCUUACCAAGACGACGAUCUGUAGCUGGUCUGAGAGGACGACCAGCCACACUGGGACUGAGACACGGCCCAGACUCCUACGGGAGGCAGCAGUGGGGAAUUUUGGACAAUGGGCGAAAGCCUGAUCCAGCCAUGCCGCGUGCAGGAUGAAGGCCUUCGGGUUGUAAACUGCUUUUGUACGGAACGAAGAGACUCUGGUUAAUACCUGGGGUCCAUGACGGUACCGUAAGAAUAAGCACCGGCUAACUACGUGCCAGCAGCAGCCGCGG